rnacentral:rRNA from 1 species
UAUGUGAUCGUCUCUCGCAUAUCAAUAAGCGGAGGAAAAGAAACUAACAAGGAUUCCCCUAGUAACGGCGAGUGAAGCGGGAAGAGCUCAAAUUUGAAAUCUUAAAGGGUUUCCCUUUACGAAUUGUAGUUUAAAGAAGUGUUUUCUGUUGAGGUUUUGGUAAAAGUUCUUUGGAAUAGGACAUCAUAGAGGGUGAGAAUCCCGUAUUUGACCUUUACUUUCAACUUUGUGAUACACUUUCAAAGAGUCGGAUUGUUUGGGAAUGCAGUCCAAAAUGGGUGGUAAAUUUCAUCUAAAGCUAAAUAUAGGCGAGAGACCGAUAGCGAACAAGUACCGUGAGGGAAAGAUGAAAAGAACUUUGAAAAGAGAGUUAAACAGUACGUGAAAUUGUCAAAAGGGAAGCGUUUGACACCAGUGUUGUUUUUCUGAAAAUCAAUUAAAGAACUGUUUAUGCUAAGCUGUUUAGACUUUAUCAGCUAUCUGUUUAGUUUUGAGCUUUUCUUUAAUGCACUUUUCAGUUAACAAGUCAACAUCAAUUUCUUUUGCUGUAGAAAAAGCUUGAGGAAGGUGGCUUGAGAUUCGUCUUAAGUGUUUAUAGCCUCUUGCCUAUGCAGUCGGAGAGAUUGAGGUCUGCAGCGUAGAUCCUUCGGGGCUAAAUGCAUUUGUGCUAAGUUAUAGCACUUUAUAGACAACUUGUUGACUAUGAUUUGUCUUGUAGCUUACUCGCUUAUGUUAUUUUACCUACGCUUAGGAUGUUGAUAUGCAUGACUGAUAU